rnacentral:rRNA from 1 species
UGAGUGCAGAAGAGGAAAGUGGAAUUUCAUGUGUAGCGGUGAAAUGCGUAGAGAUAUGGAGGAACACCAGUGGCGAAGGCGACUUUCUGGUCAGUAACUGACACUGAGGCGCGAAAGCGUGGGGAGCAAACAGGAUUAGAUACCCUGGUAGUCCACGCCGUAAACGAUGAGUGCUAAGUGUUAGAGGGUUUCCGCCCUUUAGUUCUGAAGUUAACCCAUUAAGCACUCCCCCUGGGGAGUACGUCCGCAAGGUUGAAAUUCAAAGGAAUUGACGGGGGCCCGCCCAAGCGGUGGAGCAUGUGGUUUAAUUGGAAGCAACGCGAAGACCCUUACCAGGUCUUGACAUCCUAGGAAAACCCUAGAGAUAGGGCUUCUCCUUCGGGAGCAGAGUGACAGGUGGUGCAUGGUUGUCGUCAGCUCGUGUCGUGAGAUGUUGGGUUAAGUCCCGCAACGAGCGCAACCCUUGAUUUUAGUUGCCAUCAUUAAGUUGGGCACUCUAAGGUGACUGCCGGUGACAAACCGGAGGAAGGUGGGGAUGACGUCAAAUCAUCAUGCCCCUUAUGACCUGGGCUACACACGUGCUACAAUGGGCGGUACAAAGAGCUGCAAGACCGCGAGGAGGAGCUAAUCUCAUAAAACCGUUUUCAGUUCGGAUUGUAGGUUGCAACUUGCCUACCAGAAGCUGGAAUUGGUAGUAAUUGCGGAUCAGCAAGCCCCGGUGAAUACGUUCCCGGGCCUUGUACCCCCCCCCCGUCCCCCCCAGAGAGUUUGUAACCCCCGAAGUCGGAGGGGUAACCUUUCGGAGCCAGC